rnacentral:rRNA from 1 species
AUUGAACGCUGGCGGCAGGCCUAACACAUGCAAGUCGAACGAGUGGGGACGGGUGAGUAACACGUGGGUAACCUCCCAUCAGAGGGGAUGACACUUGGAAACAGGUGCUAAACCGAUAUUGACGGAUGGACCCGCGGUGCAUUAGCUCGUUGGUGAGGAACCGGCUCACCAGGGCCACGAUGCAUAGCCGACCUGGGAGGGGGAUCGGCCACCCUGGAGCGGGGACACGGCCCAGACUCCUACGGUAGGCAGCAGUAGGGAAUCUUCGGCAAUGGACGAAAGUCUGACCGAGCAACGCCGCGUGAGUGACGAAGGUUUUCGGAUCGUAAAACUCUGUUGUUAGAGAAGCGGUAUCUAACCAGAAAGCCACGGCUAACUACGUGCCAGCAGCCGCGGUAAUAC